rnacentral:lncRNA from 1 species
AUUAAUGGCUACCACUUGUUGAACCUAGAGGGUGUCUGUGAACUUGUUGAACACUGCCUUAUUAGAACAGAAGUCUCCAGUGGACCAUGAACUCUGCAUAGCUGGGACUCUGAGCUUACUUCUUACUCACAAAAUCUGCAGGGCUCUCAAAUUCAUGUUUAAAAUGCAAGCUACUGACAAGGAACGGGAU